AUGUUAGGAUCGGCUGGCUCAUCCUCAUCAUCCGAAAAGAAAACAGAGACAAAACAGAUUUGUUUCAAUGACAUAUCUAAUCAGACUGAAAUUGAUGUCGAAGACACGAUCAUUCACAUCAAUUGA
rnacentral:rRNA from 1 species